GAUAAACGCUGGCGGCGUGCUUCAGGCAUGCAAGUCGAACGGGUGUCAGCCUUCGGGUUGGCACUAGUGGCGGACGGGUGAGUAACACGUAAGCAAUCUGCCCGGUAGUGGGGAAUAACUGGCCGAAAGGCUGGCUAAUACCGCAUGUGAUGGUUCGUCCCUGGAUGGAUCAUGAAAGGCGCAAGCCGCUACCGGAGGAGCUUGCGGUCGAUUAGCUAGUUGGGAGGUAAUGGCCCACCAAGGCAACGAUCGAUAGCUGGUCUGAGAGGACGGUCAGCCACACGGGGACUGAGAUAC
rnacentral:rRNA from 1 species